rnacentral:rRNA from 1 species
UUAUUUGAUGGUCACUCUAUAUGGAUAACUUCUGGUAAUUCUAGAGCUAAUAUAUGCACAAAGAGCCGACUUCUCGGAAGGCUUGUGUUUAUUAGAUACAGAACCAAUACCGCUUGCAGUUUUCGGAUGAUUCAUAAUAAAUGAACGGAGCGCAUGGCUUGUGCCGGCGCUGUAUCAUUCAAGUUUCUGACCUAUCAGCUUUCGACGGUAGGGUAUUGGCCUACCGUGGCAUUGACGGGUAACGGAGAAUUAGGGUUCGAUUCCGGAGAGGGAGCCCGAGAAACGGCUACCACAUCUAAGGAAGGCAGCAGGCGCGCAAAUUACCCAAUCCUGACGCAGGGAGGUAGUGACAAGAAAUAACAAAGCAGGUGCACAUGCAUUCUGCUAUUGGAAUGAGUAGAAUUUAAAUCUCUUUUCNACUAUCAAUUGGAGGGCAAGUCUGGUGCCAGCAGCCGCGGUAAUUCCAGCUCCAAUAGCGUAUAUUAAAGUUGUUGCGGUUAAAAAGUUCGUA